GUUAUAAUAGCCUAUUCGUGCCGCGCAUGCUCUGCUUUCUGUCUCACCGCGUAUCCUGCCUCGACACACGCCCUGCCAUUGUCAUUGCCAUUCUGUGCAGGUACCAUUACAAUGGAUACUGAAUUUCGGACUUGAACCUCCAAAACUGGGAAGAAAGCAUGUGUAGUUUGGGAGCAGAUCAUGGGUACAAAGGAACAGCAAGAUGAGGAAGCAGAGCUCCUAAGAAGGUCAUGAAAUGCAAGUGUUGAUAUCAGUUUCUCAGGGAACCUGGGCAGGAGGAGAUAAGCCAGUACAUCUGCUUGUUGUGCCUACAGUUAGAAAUAAUUAUAAGAGAACAUGAUGAUGCUUCGGGAACUUUCAGCUGUAACCAUUUCUUGUUUGUGGUGGUCUGGCCCCUUCUGAGCACAGUAUUGGGAGAUAAGCUUUCCUGGAACAUGGUCAGAAAAGCAAGCUCAACUGCUUCAAAUUCUCUGCCAGCAUUCCUGCGCCCAUCUUGCCUACAACCUGUGCGGUCCAACAACUAGGAGGACAGAUACAAACAAUGCAGCAGAGGAGGAAAGUUGUGUCCCAAGAUUCACAGAUGCUACUUUGUAUCCUAAGAGUGUGUAUUUGGUGGAAUGUCACAC